rnacentral:rRNA from 1 species
UACGGGGGGAGCAAGCGUUGUUCGGAUUUACUGGGCGUAAAGCGCGUGUAGGCGGUUGUCCAAGUUGGAUGUGAAAGCCUUGAGCUUAACUCAAGAAAUGCAUUCAGGACUGGAUGACUAGAGGACCGGAGAGGAUAGUGGAAUUCCCAGUGUAGUGGUGAAAUACGUAGAGAUUGGGAAGAACACCAGUGGCGAAGGCGGCUAUCUGGACGGUUUCUGACGCUAAGACGCGAAAGCGUGGGGAGCAAACAGG